UAGGGAAUCUUCCGCAAUGGACGAAAGUCUGACGGAGCAACGCCGCGUGAGCGAAGAAGGCCUUCGGGUCGUAAAGCUCUGUUGUUAGGGAAGAACAAGUAACGUAGUAACUGGCGUUACUGUGACGGUACCUAACGAGAAAGCCACGGCUAACUACGUGCCAGCAGCCGCGGUAAUACGUAGGUGGCAAGCGUUGUCCGGAAUUAUUGGGCGUAAAGCGCGCGCAGGUGGUUUCUUAAGUCUGAUGUG
rnacentral:rRNA from 1 species